GCGUCGGUGGGGUAGUGGUAACCUGGGUCGUUGCCAAAAAAUAAACAUUGCGGGUUCGACCCGCCGGGGGUUCGAUUCCCUCCCGACGCA